rnacentral:rRNA from 1 species
UGAGGAAUAUUGGUCAAUGGGCGCAAGCCUGAACCAGCCAUCCCGCGUGCAGGAUGACGGCCCUACGGGUUGUAAACUGCUUUUAUACAGGAAGAAAAAUCCCGAUGUAUCGGGACUUGCCGGUACUGUAUGAAUAAGCAUCGGCUAACUCCGUGCCAGCAGCCGCGGUAAUACGGAGGAUGCAAGCGUUAUCCGGAUUCAUUGGGUUUAAAGGGUGCGUAGGCGGCUUUUUAAGUCAGUGGUGAAAUCCUGCCGCUUAACGGUAGAAUUGCCAUUGAUACUGAGGAGCUUGAGUUCAGUUGAGGUAAGCGGAAUGUGUAGUGUAGCGGUGAAAUGCUUAGAUAUUACACAGAACACCGAUUGCGAAGGCAGCUUACUAAAACUGACACUGACGCUGAUGCACGAAAAGCGUGGGGAUCGAAACAGGAUUAGAUACCCCUGGUAGUCCACGCCGUAAAACGAUGAUCACUCGCUGUAUGCGAUAUACCGUAUGCGGCC